UUAAAUAUAUUUCUACGCAGAUCCGAUUAAUGCUGCUAUUCAUGCAGGCAUUUCACAGGGCAGGUAGGGGAAAGUUUGCUGCCGUUUCUGUGUCACAGGGGAGAGGGACACUGCUCUUCUGCACACCUGCCAAAAAGUUACACCAACAGAUGAUCUUCCAGGCAGGUAGAAGAGGGGGAGGUGAAGCCGGGACGUUUUCUUGCGGGUGCUCGGCGGGGCCUUCCCCCUCCCGUCGCUGGGAGGAGGGAUCCCCCCCCCCCCUCGUCUUGUGACGCUACACGCGGACGUCGGGUGAAGCCUGCGGAGCACCACUGAGAUGAUAACACCACACAACGUCAGCUGACUGCAGUGUCACUGUGCUGCUGGUUCUCCUCACGAUCGCAAUUCUGCCAGAGAGCUCCGUGGCUCCGACUGCUGCAGCUUCCCAGUCGCAGUGCGGCAAAGCAGCCAAUGCAGCAGGAACAAAGCAGCGACGGGAUCCCGUCUCACCCCACGCCGCCGCUCCGAUGGAAGGAAAAUAUUACCGGGGGGAGCGCAAAAAACGGGGGAGGGAGAGGGGGGGAGAAAAGAAAGAGAGAGAAGAAACUGACUGCUGGAUUUACAGGUUAAUUUUCCUGGCAUGCAGUUAAGCAGAGAGACCAUGCAUGAAGUCUGCAUCCACAAUAUAGGGCAAGGGAGGCUGUGAGGAAGGAUGACUUGCCUGCCCGGCUCUUUGUAAAUAUUUCCUGUGCCAUGCCGACAUACCUGCAAGGGUUGAGACAGAGGAUACAGUACUUUUCAUCAACCGUUUGAUCAAGGCCUCUUUUUUUUAUUUAAAGAAAUUGUUUUGCAAAGCUCGCCGCCUGAUGUUCCCUGUCUGAACAGUGAUCAGGGACCGCAAUAAUAGCAGCGGACUGACAACGGCUCCUGGCUCUCUCCGUCAGCGCAGAACUCAAAUUAAAGGGCAGCUUUUGGUGACCCACUUCCCCCCUUCAUAUCUUGGUUGGAUGCAGGAGCAGCAGCUGCCUGGUACCAAACAUCAUUGGCCAUCGUGUGGAGGAUCUCAGGGAUUGCACUGCACGACUGCUGGAGAGUGCCGGAGAGAGCGGGACUUGCACACAGUCACGCUAACCCCACCGCAGCUUUUAAGCCGCUGCCACAAACAUUUCCCAAACUGCCUGAGCCAUUCAGUACAUCUCUGCAGCCGCAUCGGGAUUAAACCGCCUCUCGAUGCCUGUCUCCAUCCCUGCCUUCAGCUACCGAAUGAAUAGAUCAACCUGUUUUCUUCUACCGUUCCAGGGAUUUCACUUGAAGGGAUGCAAUGCAGCCGGGGGAGAGAAACAACGCCGGGAUAACAAGGGGGGAGUGGUGGUGCUAUCACCUGGAUGGGCGAUCUUUGUUAUCCUGGCUGCGUCUUUGCACAUCUCUGCUUCAAGUUCAGGAGCUGCACUCAAGGCCAGGUUUCAGCGUCUAAACGAGCCAAAAGCAAAAUAUAUAUAUAUUUUUUAUAUAAAUAUAUAUAUAUAAAUUACAGGCAGCGAAGGCUGCAUCAGGAAUGAGUAGCACGCUUAGGAUGCUGCCAAUUUGAUGCAUAUGGCACGUGAGCCAGAGCCCCUCCAGGGACAGUAGUACAAAGGAGGGGAGGGGGGGGAAGAGGAUGCGUUUGAAGGAAUAAAAAAAAAACUAAAGCCUUAAUGGAGAGUCUGCAUUGCAAAAUGCCACCGAAACCCCCUUGCGCACAUAGCAAUUCCACCAGGCACUUGCAGCUGAAUAAUUAAUGGAUUAAAUCAUCCCGGAUUCACCUUUUGCAUAGGAUAUCGGUCAUGCUGAAUUUGGACCACUGCAUCAGUUCUGGCCACUCCAUUACAGGAAGGAUGUGGACGCUUUGGAAAAGGCACAGAGGUGGUUUACCAGACUGCUGCUUGGAUUAGGGGCUGUUUGACGCGGGGACAGACUUGGAUUGUUUUCUCUGGAAUGCCAGAGGUUGUGGGGAGGCCUCAAAGAAGUAACUUGGACGGCACAGUGGUACAGCGUUAGAGUUGGUGCCUUAGAGCGCUGGAGAAUCUGGUGUGAUCCAGACUACGGGUGCUGUCUCAACGGAGUUUGUACGUGAUGAAAUCUCUGGAACUCUCUGCCGCAGAGGGUAGUCGAGGCCAGUUCAUUGGCUAUAUUUAAGAGGGAGUUAGAUGUGGCCCUUGUGGCUAAGGGGAUCAGAGGGUAUGGAGAGAAGGCAGGUACGGGAUACUGAGUUGGAUGAUCAGCCAUGAUCAUAUUGAAUGGCGGUGCAGGCUCGAAGGGCCGAAUGGCCUACUCCUGCACCUAUUUUUCUAUGUUUCUAUGUUUCUAUGUUCUCCCCGUGACCUGUGUGGGUUUUCUCCGGGCUCUCCGGUUUCCUCCCACACUCCAAAGAUGUACAGGUUUGUAGGUUAAUUGGCUUGGUAUAAUUGUAAAUUUUCCCUUGAGUGUGUAGAACCAGCAUAAGUGUGCUGGUUGGCGCGGACUCGGUGGGCCGAAGGGUCUGUUUCCGUGCUGUAUCUCUAAACUUAACUAAACUACACAGAUAACCACGAUGGAGACCGGGGACAUGCCGGGUAGGCCCAGCUUACCCGGCGUGGCGGUGUACCUGCAUCAGGUCGCAGAGCCCGCCCAGUAGGCCCUGCCCUCUCACCACUGAGGGGGCACUGGACCCCCGCCGCAGACCAGAAUCCGCCCGGAAGGCCCGCUCACCAACCGCAGGCCGAGGGCCCACGGGAACCCACCUGGAGGGCCGGAAAGCAAACCGGCUGUGGGAGGGAGUGCACGGCCUCAAUGAGGGAGUGGGCCGCUGGAGUGGGCCGCUCCCCACAGCCUCAGCUGGACUGGGCGUUGUUCCAAGAGGCCGAACGCAUGGACCCAAUGGUGGACCUACAGUGGAGGACACCACGGCUACACUUGGGCAGACAGACCCUGCAACGCCGCCAGGACAACAGACCUUCAUGGUCACAUCAAGAUCCCUUCACUUACAACGGGGACUUGAAAAUGGCUCCAAACUGGUCGAGUGACUCUGUAUACUGUUUCAGUGUACUACUGCUGUACACCUGUACUGUAUCUGAGAUGCUUUCCUAAUAUGUAUCUAAGUGCUUGUGUAUAGUGAUACUUGUUUUAAACUGUAUACAAAAAUGUAUUUUGCUGUACCUCGGUUCAUGUGACACGUAACGUACCAUACCAUACAGGUAGGCAAAACAAAAUUCUCACUCUAUCUUCGCAUACACUGUACAACAAUAACAAACCAAUAAAAGUUGGUAUAGAAUGCUAAUUCACUGGUGUUCUCACAGACAUGUUUCAAAGACCAUUUAAUAAAACAGGCUGGCUUACAAAUCAAAUUCUUACGUAAUUUGUAAUUGUGGAACGGUGACACAGCAGUAGAUAUGCUGCCUUUCACCUCCAGAGACCCAGGUUCGUGUGCUGUCUGUACGGCGUUUGUAUAUUCUCCCCGUGACCUCGUGGGUUUUCUCUGGGUGCACCAGUUUCCUCCCACAUCCAAAUACCUGCAGGUUUGUAGGUUAAUUGGCUUCGCUAAAUUGCGCCUAAUGUGCAGGAUGCGAAACUGGGAUAACACAGAACUAGUGUAUGGGUGAUAGUUAGUCGGCAUGGACUCAAUGGGCCGAAGGGCUGGUUUCCGCCCUGUAUCUCGAAACGAAAACAAAAAUUUAUCAUAAGCUUUCCCUCAGAAACCACAGACAAAUUGCCCUCAUCAACUAGAAACAUAUCAAGAUGGCAGGAGCUUGCCAACUCUUUCAAUGAAACGAUGUAGUCUGCAGGAUGUUCUCCUUUCUCUGGGUGCCUGCAGUGAAAUUUGAAACUUACUGCAAUGAGAAUUGGCUCAGGCUUGAGCUGAUUUGACAGUGUUUCAGCGUUAUUUUUGUGUAAAACAAAUCCACAAAUUACUUUGACACAGCCAUGGUUUUGAGAAGUCCAAGCCCCUUAUGGCUUAAAAUUAACAAGGAAUAUAUUUACUGUUUUCUCAUCUGCAAAAUUAGAAGCAAAAGUUUUCUUUUGAUGUCUCACAUUGUGGUACCUGCCCAAUUGUUGAAAUCUGGUGGUUCUGCAGUUUUGUUUAUCAACAGUACAGUCACAGAGUCAUACAGCAUGGAAACAGGCCCUUUGACACAACUUAUCCACGAUGACCAAGGCCCCAUUUACCCCCAUAUUGCAAUUGGCCCAUAUUCCUCUAAACCUUUCCUAUCUAUGUACCUUCACAACUUUGUCUUAAAUUUAGCCUAGACUAGUUUAGUUUAGUGAUACAGUGUGGAAACAGACCCUUCAGCCCAGCGAGUCCAUGCUGUCCAACGAUCACCUCUACACUAGGUCGAUGAUAUCUCACUUUCACAUUCUGCACACUGGGGGCAAUUUACGGAAGACAAUUAACCUACAAACUUGCACGUCUUUGGAAUGUAGGGGGAAACUGGAGCACCUGGAGAAAACCCAAGUGGUCACUAGAGAGAACGCGCAAACUCAGUACAGACAGCACCCGAAGUCAGGAUCGAACCCGGGUCUCUGGCGCUGUAAGGUAGCAACUCCACCACUGCAUCACUCUGCUGCCCUAUUGUUGGUGAUACUGUACCUACCUCAACUACUUCCUCUGGCAGUCGAUCUGCCCUCUGCGGUAUCAACAUUGACUUCUCUAACUUCAGAUAGCCCUAACUUUCCCACUCUCUCCAUCCCCUGCCCCUUCCCAGUUCUCCCACUAGUCUUACUGUCUCCGACUACAUUCUAUCUUUGUUCCGCCCCCUCCCCUGACAUCAGUCUGAAGAAAGGUCUCGACCCGAAACGUCACCCAUUCCUUCUCUCCAGAGAUGCUGCCUGACCCGCUGAGUUACUCCAGCAUUUUCGUGUCUACCUAUAUAUACAUACACAUGCAUACAUACACAUAGACACACAUAUACAUAUAUACACACAU